rnacentral:lncRNA from 1 species
AUGGUCGUUGCUUUUAAGUUUCAAACCGACAUUCCAGGCGGGUUGUGUCUGAGCCAGCCUCGGGCUUUCAGACCUUCACAGCCUGGUCCUGAGAAGGUAGAGCUCUCAGCUUCUCCCUGGUCACCCCAGACCGUGCUGCCAGUCUCAGCUGGCUUCGGGGCUGCCGGUUCUCUCCUCCCACUGCGGCGUGUCAGGGCAGAGCCAUCCCGUGAGGAGCCUGGGGACAGCUGACCAAACAGAGAGCAUCGGUAGACAGCUGAGCUGCCACGGUCAUGGUCGUGGUCAUGAGCCCACAGCCCAGGACCACUUGCCAUUGGUGAUGCUCGGGUGUGUGUCACAAUCAUUUGGGCACUUGUGAAAAGAGACAUCCCUGGGUCCCAUUGCCAGAGUUUCUGAUUUCGAAGGUCUAGGGCACACCCUGAAAAUCUGCAUUUAUGAAAAUUCUCAGAUGAUACUGUUGGUCCAGAGGUCCAUAUUGAGGACCAUUAGUUAGGGCCAUGGGCCAAGGGUGAAAACCUAAAGGCCUAAAGAUUGUCUCUGUUGUCCCCUUUAAUGCUGAGAUUCCCUUCAUACGUUUUAGUCCAACUUUAGAACUAAAACCAGCCUUUCAGAAAGACCUUUGCAUCCCUUCGUAACAGUAUAGCAAGGUUACCUGUAACUUUGACCUUUUACAAUGUCAACCAGACUAUAGAUCUGCUAAAAUGUUUUUGAGGUUUAAUUCUUUGAAAAGAGGAUUUUUUUAUGGAUAGAGAAGGUGACCAAGGGGAGGGGUAUUGACUAAACUAGGAAAUAAUUGAGUGAGGCCGUGUCCUUGGGCUGCCCACCCUUGUCUCCAUUUGUGGAAACCUUCAGUAUUAACAGAGGGAGGUAUGUUGUGGGUCCCUUUUGGUACCAAAAGGUGGACAAAUUUCCGAGAUCCUCAGGGCUCAGGGUCAAUCACCCAUGAACUCCUGUUCAUCCUAGAAGGUGGAGGAGUGUCACGAUCAGGAUGCUGGACUGGAGGCUGAGUGCUACCAGGUACCAGCUGGUGGCUGAACUUCCCCUGCCUCCCAGGUGAGAAAGAUGCUCCUGUAGCAGCAGUCUGAGAGGGCAGAUGCUCACAGAAAGCACACAUCCAGACUAGUAUCUGGGAUGGGAUGGGAUGAGCUCAACAAACAAUGAACUACAGGAUGCUGCUUGUGUUUGUGGCAGCCCUGGGACAGGCUCGCACUCUGCUGAUGGCUUUGUUAA